rnacentral:rRNA from 1 species
AUUGAACGCUGGCGGCAGGCCUAACACAUGCAAGUCGAACGCGUGGCGGACGGGUGAGUUAUGUCUGGGAAAUUGCCUGAUGGAGGGGGAUAACUAUUGGAAACGGUAGCUAAUCCCGCAUACCAUCGGAUGUGCCUAGAUGGCUUUAGCUAGUAGGUGGGGUAACGGCUCACCUAGGCGACGAUCCCUAGCUGGUCUGAGAGGAUGACCAGCCACACUGGAACUGAGACACGGUCCAGACUCCUACGGGAGGCAGCAGUGGGGAAUAUUGCACAAUGGGCGCAAGCCUGAUGCAGCCAUGCCGCGUGUAUGAAGAAGGCCUUCGGGUUGUAAAGUACUUUCAGCGGGGAGGCGUUACCCGCAGAAGAAGCACCGGCUAACUCCGUGCCAGCAGCCGCGGUAAUUC